GAAACAUGCUAUUCUCGAAGAUUAAGCCAUGCACGUGCCAAGUUCAUACGAUCUUAUCGUGAGACUGCGGACGGCUCAGUAUAUCAGUGAUUAUCUAUUUGAUUGUCUUCCCCAUUGGAUAACCGUGGGAAAUCUAGAGCUAAUACAUGCAGUUCACAGAUCAUUUCGCAAGGGAUGAUUUGAGCAUUUAUUAGACAUAACCAUCUACUGUGUGGCAACACAUGGUAAGGCGAAUCUAGAUAACUUUGCUGAUCGUAUGGCCUCGUGCCGACGACGUUUCAAUUGAGUUUCUGCCCUAUCAACUUGUUGGUAAGGUAUUGGCUUACCAAGGUUGCAACGGGUAACGGGGAAUCAGGGUUCGAUUCCGGAGAGGGAGCCUGAGAAACGGCUACCACAUCCAAGGAAGGCAGCAGGCGCGCAAAUUACCCAAUCUAGACAGUAGGAGGUGGUAAAGAGAAGUACUGAGUGGUGGCAAAUUGUUACCAACUUGGAAUGAACGUAAUUUAAGCAAUUCGAUGAGUAACUACUGGAGGGCAAGUCCUGGUGCCAGCAGCCGCGGUAAUUCCAGCUCCAGUGGCGUGAUUUAAAGUUGCUGCGUUUAAAACGCUCGUAGUUGGAUCACGCAGUAGUAUUCAGUAAUUCGAUUUGAUGUUUUUCAUGAUGCCUCAGGGUUUCUGAAUUUCAUUAGUUUGAAUGUUAACGCUGAAUGCUACUAUUUGCACACAAGUGUGGUAUUUGGCCUUUAGUGAGUUGAGUAUCAUGCCUUGUGGAGUGUGCGUUGAAUAAAACAG
rnacentral:rRNA from 1 species